UUAAUUGAAGCCAAAAAGAGGCAUAUCACUGUUAAUGAUACUACUGAGACCUAUCUCCAGUUAAG
rnacentral:tRNA from 1 species